AAUGCAUGAUGAGGACAUUUCCGCAAGAGAUACUUGAAUCUAUACCAUGUCUCAAAAAGAGACUCUAAUUCCAUUUGCACAAAAGAGGAUAUUUCAUUCCUGAGCUU